GGAAGUAAAAGCCGUAACAAGGUUUCCGUAGGUGAACCUGCGGAAGGAUCAUUAUUGUAUAACCGAGUUGCGAGGGCUGUCGCUGACCCGAAAGGUCGUGCACGCCCGAGUGCCCUCACACACAUCCAUCUCACCCCUAUGUGCACCACCGCGUGGGUCCCCCUUUGGCUUGUUCGGAGGGGGGCUUACGUUUUCACACAAACUUUGUAUGCAGUGUAGAAUGUAUUUUUUGUUUUUGCGAUCACGCAAUCAAUACAACUUUCAACAACGGAUCUCUUGGCUCUC
rnacentral:misc_RNA from 1 species